GAUCGAGUUGUAAUUUGAAGAAGCGUUUUCUGCGUAUUUGGUCAGCCUAAGUCCUAUUGAAUGAGGCAUCAUGGAGGGUGAUAAUCCCGUCCGGUUGAUCAUUUGCGUUUUACGAUACGCUUUCUAAGAGUCAAGUUGUUUGGGAUUGCAGCUUAAAAUGGGAGGUAAAUUUCUCCUAAGGCUAGGUAAACGGCGAGAGACCGAUAGCGAACAAGUACC
rnacentral:rRNA from 1 species